rnacentral:rRNA from 1 species
GAACGCUGGCUGCGUGCUUAACACAUGCAAGUCGAACGCUGAAGCCUACAGCUUGCUGUGGGUGGAUGAGUGGCGAACGGGUGAGUAACACGUGAGUAACCUGCCCCCGAUUUCGGGAUAAGCCCGGGAAACUGGGUCUAAUACCGGAUAUGACCAGAGGACGCAUGUUCUCUGGUGGAAAGUUUUUCGAUCGGGGAUGGGCUCGCGGCCUAUCAGCUUGUUGGUGGGGUAAUGGCCUACCAAGGCGACGACGGGUAGCCGGCCUGAGAGGGCGACCGGCCACACUGGGACUGAGACACGGCCCAGACUCCUACGGGAGGCAGCAGUGGGGAAUAUUGCACAAUGGGGGAAACCCUGAUGCAGCGACGCAGCGUGCGGGAUGACGGCCUUCGGGUUGUAAACCGCUUUCAGCAGGGAAGAAGCGAAAGUGACGGUACCUGCAGAAGAAGUACCGGCUAACUACGUGCCAGCAGCCGCGGUAAUACGUAGGGUACGAGCGUUGUCCGGAAUUAUUGGGCGUAAAGAGCUCGUAGGUGGUUGGUCACGUCUGCUGUGGAAACGCAACGCUUAACGUUGCGCGGGCAGUGGGUACGGGCUGACUAGAGUGCAGUAGGGGAGUCUGGAAUUCCUGGUGUAGCGGUGAAAUGCGCAGAUAUCAGGAGGAACACCGGUGGCGAAGGCGGGACUCUGGGCUGUAACUGACACUGAGGAGCGAAAGCAUGGGGAGCGAACAGGAUUAGAUACCCUGGUAGUCCAUGCCGUAAACGUUGGGCACUAGGUGUGGGGGACAUUCCACGUUCUCCGCGCCGUAGCUAACGCAU